UAGAGGGACCGUCCCACCAGAUGAACACAUCAUGAUGGUUGGCCGACCCUGUGAAAACAGACAGCUUUGUGAGGUUCCCCUCAUGAGAUUGAAUCUGGUUACGUUUCCACAAAGAAGACAUGGUUGUCGAGGAGUGGGACACUGCUCGUCCCUCUCUGUGGCUGCUCUGCUGAUGGUAACUGCUGGGAUCCACGGACUCGGGCCUCUGUGCUGAAGGACCGAGGACCAUGGUGAAGUUAGUUUGAAGACCGCAGACUGCAGCUGGACCUGAAAAAGGU